rnacentral:ribozyme from 1 species
AAUCAUAUUACCGAACAUGUUCCAUUUUAUUUGCUGUAUUUCUUUUUGGUGUAUCUCUUUCUUUUCAUCAUCCAAAUCGGUAUGCUCGUUGUAACUGUCGACACGAAAUGGUUCCGUCACG